rnacentral:snRNA from 2 species
AGCUUUGCGCAGUGGCAGUAUCGUAGCCAAUGAGGUUAAUCCGAGGCGCGAUUAUUGCUGAUUGAAAACUUUUCCCAAUACCCCGCCAUGACGACUUGAAAUACAGUCGGCAUUGGCAAUUUUUGAGAGCCUCUCCGGAGG